AAUUUUAAAAUUAUUUAUUUUUUGAAUUUAUUUAUUUGAUAAAAAAAAUAGUUUUAUUUUUAGUAUAUUUUUAGAAUAAAUAUAUCAUCAUGAUUCGUCAUUCGGUUUUUGUAGUUAACCCUAUGUGGUGUGAGGAAUAAGUUGCCGAGUAUUUUUGAUAUGUACAAGUCGAAUUUUACGUUAUUUACAAAAUAAAGUGCGGUUUCUCGGUGUGGAUCUCGGUUUUUAUUUCAGAACUAUAACAUUUAUAUGCACAGGAACGAUAUAGUAAUGACAUAUUUCAGGUGUGGAUAUCCGUGUAUCUAAAAAAGUACAGAAAAAAUAAAAAAACAAACAUGAUAUAAAUGAGACAAUAUAGUGAGUGAGUGGGUGAGUGAUAUGGAUUUAAGACGCGUCGAUUACUAAGUCUUUUAGCGUCCAGAGAUGUAAGUUCAGUUAUUUUUUUUUAAAUUUACGUUUUUAAAAUUUAAAAUUUUUUAAAUUUCUUACAAAUUUUUAAUCUUUUAGUUGUAAAAUUUUAAGAAUUUUAAAUUUGAUUAUAGAAUUCUAUCUCUUGGAAGAGAAGAAUGUUUUGAGCAUUUUCGAAGGAAAAAUCGUAAUUAUCGUUUAGUGGGGAUAGAUAUCUCUGACGUUGUUCUAUGUAUCGUGAGCAUUGAAAUAAUAAGUAGUGAACUGUUAGAGCUGUAUUUAGAAAAAAUGAUAAAAUUAGUAUAAUGUAAAAGUCUAUAUUAUUUUUAUAGAUUUUAGGUUAAAUAAAGGAAUUCGGCAAAUUUAUUUUUCACCUGUUUAUUAAAAACAUGGCUUUUUGUGAAUAAUUUAAGGUCGGACCUGCCCAAUGAUAAAUUCAAUGGCCGCGGUAUUUUGACCGUGCAAAGGUAGCAUAAUCAUUAGUUUUUUAAUUGAAAGCUUGUAUGAAGGGUUUGAUGAAGAAAUAACUGUCUCUAUUUAAAUUUAUUAGAAUUUUAUUUUUAAGUAAAAAAGCUUAAAUUUUUAUAAAAGACGAGAAGACCCUAUAGAGUUUUAUAUUUUUUAUAUUAAAAGAUUUAAGAAUUUUUAUAUUUUGAUUUAAAAAAGUAUUUAGUUGGGGUGAUUAAAAAAUUAAAUAAACUUUUUUUUUAUUGAAACAUUAAUUUAUGAAUAAUUGAUCCAUAUUUUAAGGAUUAUAAGAUAAAAUUACCUUAGGGAUAACAGCGUAAUUUUUUUUAAGAGUUCAAAUCUAAAAAAAAGAUUGCGACCUCGAUGUUGGAUUAAAAUAAAAUAUUGGUGUAGAAGCUAGUAUAUUAGGUCUGUUCGACCUUUUAAAUUUUACAUGAUCUGAGUUUAAACCGGUGUAAGCCAGGUUGGUUUCUAUCUUUAUAUAAAAAUAAUAUUUUAGUACGAAAGGACCAAAUAUUAAAUUUAAAAUUUAUUAAAAGAAUAUUAUU
rnacentral:rRNA from 1 species